GGCUGGUCCGAUGGUAGUGGGUCAUCAGAACUUAUUAACAUUAGUGUCACUAAAGUUGGUAUUCAAGCCCCCACUGCUAAAUUUGACUGGCUUUAA
ensembl:misc_RNA Y_RNA Y RNA